rnacentral:rRNA from 1 species
CUUGGUCAUUUAGAGGAAGUAAAAGUCGUAACAAGGUUUCCGUAGGUGAACCUGCGGAAGGAUCAUUAGUGAAUUGAGCUGGCUUCGGCCGCUCUGAUCUAUACACACCUGUGAACUGUUGGCCUUCGGGUCUUUAAAUACAACUGUGACGAACGUAAAUUAUUAUAACAAAUAAAACUUUUAACAACGGAUCUCUUGGCUCUCGCAUCGAUGAAGAACGCAGCGAAAUGCGAUAAGUAAUGUGAAUUGCAGAAUUCAGUGAAUCAUCGAAUCUUUGAACGCACCUUGCGCCCGUUGGUAUUCCGACGGGCAUGCCUGUUUGAGUGUCGUGAACAACCUCAACCUUGAUUGGUUUUACCAUCAAGGCUUGGACUUGGGUGUUGCUGCUGCAAAGUGGCUCGCCUUAAAAUCAUUAGCUGGACUUGUCUAUGACUUGGUUCGACUCGAUGUAAUAAGUAUUCAUCGGGGACAGGGUAAAACCUGGCCAAGGCUUGAUGCCGUCUGCUUCUAAUCAUGUUCUCACUAUGAGACGCUACUUUACUGUGUGGCCUCAAAUCAGGUAGGAUUACCCGCUGAACUUAAGCAUAUCAAUAAGCGGAGGA